CUUAGCAGAACUUUGUAAGACACUUCAUCUUUAAACAUCAGAUACAAUGAUUAUCCCAAAAAUGACACUUCUUUUAAAAAAAUCCCAUAGCCCGAGUUUAUUAGCAUCACUUUUUCAAUGAACAGAUACAGACUAUAGGCAAUUGCUACUUCAAAGAAUUACUCAGAGUAACAAACUUGAGUGUUGUUUGGUUUAUGCAUAGUUAAAUAAAUUAGGGAACAUUCGACCGUUUAAAAUAUUGUUUAUUAACAACAUACAUUCAAAGGAUCGCUCUGAAACAUCCAACACAAACACACACCCGUUGACAAUCACUUCGUUUUCCAAUCACUUUAAACACUGAUUUGAGAUCCCUGCAGCAACAAAGCUGGUAUCAUAACGGAGAGUUACAUAACACCAACCACUCUCUCUUCGCCCACAAAACGCCAGCGGAUAACACCACUUCCCCUUCCCCCAGCAGACAGAACGUGUCCCGAGGCUUUAGGGAGAGCACCCAUCCCUGCAGACGCUGCCGUGCCACGGCGCUUCCCCGGGCACAGCGAUGGAGGAGCAGGGGCAAUGCCCGCCGAGCCCCUUUGUUCUCCCGGGAGCCGGCGGGACACAGCACAGAGAGAAGAACCAGCGCGGAGGACGCGGGUUGCACUUCAGCGAGGAGCAGUCGUGGGUACCGGGCUGGCUGUGGAAUUGCAGCAAACUGGACUCGCUCCUGACGAUCCACCCUGACGAGGGACCCAGCAGACAGUCAUUAGUGGUCUCAGAAACACUUCUGCUUCAAACACGCCGUUCUUACAUCUCUUAGCUGGGACAUACUGACUCAGUGUCUUGCUGAUAAGCCAGAUGCAAAUUGGUCAGGAAGCUUCAAGCAGUGUUCCCGCUUGUGCCUUCUCAGCGGUGGGCAGAGGUUGACAUCUCCCCGGAGUCAUCAACUUCGUGAUUUAGCUGUUUUGAAGCAAAUGACAUAUGUAAAGAUCCAAUCCUAAUACGUUUCCAUGCUUAGGAGUAAAGAAAAAUGUGUAAUAUGUACAUAAAAAGAUUUACCAUACUUUUUGAGAAAGA